GAUCAUGGCUCAGGAUGAACGCUGGCGGCGUGCUUAACACAUGCAAGUCGAACGGACUUUACAUGAAGCCUAGCGAUUGUAAAGUUAGUGGCGGACGGGUGAGUAACGCGUGAAUAACCUGCCCUGUACCGGGGGACAACAGUUGGAACGGCUGCUAAUACCGCAUAAGCGCACGGUUCCGCAUGGAACAGUGUGAAAAACUCCGGUGGUACAGGAUGGAUUCGCGUCUGAUUAGCCAGUUGUGGGG
rnacentral:rRNA from 1 species